GACGAACGCUGGCGGCGUGCUUAACACAUGCAAGUCGAACGGAAAGGCCCCUUUGGGGGUACUCGAGUGGCUGACGGGUGAGUAACACGUGAGUAACCUGCCCUUGACUUCCGUUUAACUUACGGAAACUGGGGCUAAUACCUGAUAGGAAGCAUUUCUGGCUGGAGGGGGGGGGAAGGCAUCGGUCGGUUUGGGUGGACGGACGGCCUAUCAGCUUGUUGGUUGGGUAGUGGCUUACCAAGGCUUUGAUUGGUAGGCGGCCCGGGAGGGGGGCCGGCCAACUUGGGGAUGAGAUACGGCCCAGACUCCCACGGGAGGGAACCGUGGGGAAUAUUGGACCAUGGGCGGGAGCCCGAUGCAGCCACGGCGCGUGCGGGAUGACGGCCUUCCGGUUGUAAACCGCUUUCAGCAGGGGAGAAGCUUGUGGUGACGGUACCUGCAAAAGAAGCACCGGCUAACUACGUG
rnacentral:rRNA from 1 species